CCGUCGAACUGAUAGUCGUUACCUAGUGAGACCCCCUCACCAACGGGGGGGCUCCCGAAGUCGUGGUACCUGCGGAGGAUCAUUACCGAAUUGUCAACACGAGUUGUUGCUGGUCCAAUGAGGGGCAUGUGCACACUCUGUUUGUACAUCCACUCACACCUGUGCACCCUCCGUAGCUCUGCAGCCUGGGGGCUCUGUCCUCCUGCCGUAGUUCUAUGUAUUUACACACACACACACACAAUAAUGAAGUCCCAUGGAAUGUAUCCCGCGUUUAACGCAAUACAAUACAACUUUCAGCAACGGAUCUCUUGGCUCUCGCAUCGAUGAAGAACGCAGCGAAAUGCGAUAAGUAAUGUGAAUUGCAGAAUUCAGUGAAUCAUCGAAUCUUUGAACGCACCUUGCGCCCUUUGGCUAUUCCGAAGGGCAUGCCUGUUUGAGUAUCAUGAACACCUCAACUCUCAUGGCUUGCCGUGAUGAGCUUGGACUUUGGGGGUCUUGCUGGCCUGUGGUCAGCUCCUCUCAAAUGAAUCAGCUUACCAGUGUUUGGUGGCAUCACAAGUGUGAUAACUAUCUACGCUUGUGGUUUUCCAUCAUGCAACCUUCAGUGAUGAAGGUUCACCGGGGCUCAUAAACGUCUCUCCUCAACGAGGAAAGCUCUUUUGAACGUUUGAUCUCAAAUCAGGUAGGACUACCCGCUGAACUUAAGAGACUUCUAUUUCCCC
rnacentral:rRNA from 1 species